CUUUUGGAGCCUGGGUUUGGAACAAUCCAUGGAAUCUACUAUUGGGAAUGCUUUUCUGAAGAUUGUGGGGGAAGCUGCACAAAGACGGAAAAGAUUUUCACAUUGCUGACCUCUACGUCAUGGCCACCUGGAAGGAUCCACAAGUCAACCUGCUGCGUUGCUUGCCAGUGUUUGCACAUGGAGAAGGUUCUCAGAAAAGUACAGAGAACAGUAUUUUAACAUGUACACAAUUAAGAUCUGUCAUCAAUGUGGAGAUCAAUACAAACACUUGCCCCGAGGUAUGCAACACUGUAUAAUCUUAUAUUGCGGUAUCGGUAUAUAUACAGACAAUGAGAUUUUUGUCUGUAAUGAGAUCUGUAAGGAUGAAAACCAUACCGCUUGGAGCCCAUUCUCCUCCCUGUUUGAAUUUUUAAAUUUUUUUUGUUGUAUUACAGGAUAUGUUGGCACAGGUAAAAGAGGACAACUAAGGGCAUUUUACUCAGAGGAGAUGUGCCCAGGCUACUGUAGCCACUUCUGCAGUCAAAUGAACAAUUAAUAUGUCUGCACUGUUCACCUAUAUACACACGUACACACACACUGGUUUUAGUGACCAAGUUCCUCAUUAGUGAUUCCCCACAUCUUGGGCCCUUUCUC